GCAGCUAGUGGUCCCUCCUGGAUACCUGAUGCCGGUGCACGACCCCCGCCCCGCUGCAACCACCCAGAGCGCCUGCUGCUCACAGAAGAGGAAGCGAGAUGACCACAGCGAGCCACCAUACGUUAAGAAGCCACCCAACGCCUUCA